GGCUGUCCCCGCGUCCCGAGCCGUUACCUCCCCAGGCCCGGCCCGGCCCGGCCCGGCUCGGCUCUCCUCACACGCGGAGCCCGCCCAGCGCCUCCUUCCGCCCCGGUCGCAGGCUGCUGACGCUCCCGUCGCCUCCGCCCCCGCCAGCCCUGCCUGGAGCCGGGGAGUCGCCGCCGCCAGUGCCCGGAUUGAAGUGAUGUGGAGAGCCCUGUGUGCCCUGGUGGUACGGGGGAUGUAAUCAGGAGGCAAGGAGAAGCAAAGGAGGAGAGUAUUGCCUCAUCUUCUGCUCACAACAAGCCCAGGCCACCUGGCAUGGGAGGGGUAUGGGCAUAGCAGAGAGCGUGUGAAUCACCCUGGCCGUGCAGCUCAGUGCAGAGAUCUCUGGAGUAAUCACCCCAGCUUUCCAUCCUGAGCUGCAGAACUCAACAUGUAUAAGUCAGUAUUCGCUAAGAUACCAUCCCAGCAUGGAAAGAUUCUCAGCUGCAUCUUGGCUUUGGGACAAACCGGCUCACGAAGGGACCAGUGGAAGUCACUGUUUUUGAGAAUUUCAGGUGAGCUUUAGAUGGGUUGGAUUGCAGAGUUCCUGUGCCCAUCUUUAGCAGGAAAUCACCCACUCUCCAAUAAAAGCUUAAGACUUCUUUUUUUUUGGCACAUGACAAGCAGAGGAUUCGCUGUGCUUUACACAACCACCCUACUUCCUUUCACAUUAAACUGUAAAAGGAGCCCACGGCUUCGCAGGUGCUGGAGGCGAGGUGCAGGUCCUCCCUCAGCAGAGCCGGGCUGCCGGGGGCUGGGCGCCAGAUCCGCACCCGCCUCAGGGGCAGUUACUGACAGUUACGGCCAGUGCUGACAUUACAUAACCCUCAGUUUUGGGAUGGCACGUUAUCACACCCGCGGCUGAAUCCUCGACCGAGGUGUGAAGAGCCAAUAUUCAUGGCAACGGGCCAUGUUGGUGCACGAUGGCGCAGAGAGAUGGAAUUCUGCCCACACAUCGGCGCUCAGCGGAGGCGCCGCGGCUCCCU